UUAAAUACCCAAAUCGGGCAAGCAGCAUUGCGUUUCAGUCUUCCGGCUUCACUGAUGGUAUUAUAGAUGAUACUGAACUGCCAGAGGAAGGAUUGAAAAAAAAGAGCAUGGAAGUGAGUGAAGAUGCUGAGGAAUUCUCUAAAAAUGAGGAUGAUGAAGUGGAAAGUAAAGAGGAAAACAACAGAAUGGCAAGCAGUAACACACUCUCUGAAGAGCUGGAAGCAAAUAAUGAAAAAUGGGGAAAGUUGCCUACAGGUAAACAGCUCAACAUAGAGGCUGGUGAUCUGGAUGAUGCCUAUGAUUUUAAUACAGAUUACAUAUAAGAAAACCAAGAGGUUUUGAGUGCUCCACUUUUCUGGAAUCAGCAUUUAGGACACUACAGGCAUUUCUGUGGACUUUUUGUAAAAGCAAUGCUGGUUUCGUGUACAUAUUGUAUAGAGUAUUACAUUAUUAUCUACAGAAGAUUGCAUUCAUACAUUUCUCAUCAAUCGGCAUAAAAUUAAAACUGGUAUAUGUAUGUUACUUCGUUGUGCUUUAAGCUGUUUCUUUUUUCAGACAUACAUAGUGGAGUAAAUAUUUUAAUUGGGACUGAUAGUGAACUUCUUUCUCCAAAUUAUGGUUUCUGGGGGGAAAGGGGGAAAUUAAAUUAGAUGUAGGUUGUUGCUUACCAAUUCAUAGUAACUUAACAAAUGUUUGAAUAGUUUUUAGCCU